rnacentral:lncRNA from 1 species
UUCUGCCGUCACAGAGAAACCCUAAUGAGGUCCCGCAGCAACGCAGGCAUAUGCGGAAUCUCCCCGGGACAGGGUGCGAGGGGUUACUGGCAGAGAGAUCUGGUUCAGGUCCAGGACUCCUGCGCUGGCGGGCGCGGCGGGGUCCUUCUCCCUGCGGCUCCUCUGGCGUUGACGAGGAGGGAGUUCUUCGCCCUGAGGCGAUGUGCUGGGAAGGGCGGAAGCCUUCCGCGCUUUGUUCUUCGGUGCCUUGGGGAUCUUCCUAGGGCGGGCGCUCUUCCCCUUCAAGGGAGCAGGGGACGGGUCUGCUGUUAGGUAUUUGUAUCUUCUUCGCAGGAAUCUGAG